UGGGGAAUUUUGGACAAUGGGGGAAACCCUGAUCCAGCCAUGCCGCGUGAGUGAAGAAGGCCUUCGGGUUGUAAAGCUCUUUCGGACGGAAAGAAAUCGCACCGGUGAAUAAUCUGUGUGGAUGACGGUACCGUAAGAAGAAGCACCGGCUAACUACGUGCCAGCAGCCGCGGUAAUACGUAGGGUGCGAGCGUUAAUCGGAAUUACUGGGCGUAAAGCGUGCGCAGGCGGUUGCAUAAGACAGAUGUGAAAUCCCCGGGCUCAACCUGGGAACUGCGUUUGUGACUGUGCGACUGGAGUACGGUAGAGGGGGGUGGAAUUCCUGGUGUAGCAGUGAAAUGCGUAGAUAUCAGGAGGAACAUCGAUGGCGAAGGCAGCCCCCUGGACCUGUACUGACGCUCAUGCACGAAAGCGUGGGGAGCAAACA
rnacentral:rRNA from 1 species